ACGGCUCAGUAACACGUGGCCAAGCUACCCUGCAGACACGGACAACCUCGGGAAACUGAGGCUAAUCCGCGAUACCGAUCCCAGGCUGGAACAGCCGGGAUCAUCAAACGCUCCGGCGCUGCAGGAUGCGGCUGCGGCCGAUUAGGUAGACGGUGGGGUAACGGCCCACCGUGCCGAUAAUCGGUACGGGUUGUGAGAGCAAGAGCCCGGAGACGGAAUCUGAGACAAGAUUCCGGGCCCUACGGGGCGCAGCAGGCGCGAAACCUUUACACUGCACGCAAGUGCGAUAAGGGGACUCCGAGUGCGAGGGCAUAUAGUCCUCGCUUUUGAGAACCGUAAGGCGGUUCUCGAAUAAGAGCUGGGCAAGACCGGUGCCAGCCGCCGCGGUAAUACCGGCAGCUCAAGUGAUGGCCAAUCUUAUUGGGCCUAAAGCGUCCGUAGCUGGCCGUGAAAGUUCGUCGGGAAAUCCAUCCGCUCAACGGAUGGGCGUCCGGCGAAAACUUCACGGCUUGGGACCGGAAGGCUCGAGGGGUACGUCUGGGGUAGGAGUGAAAUCCUGUAAUCCUGGACGGACCGCCGAUGGCGAAAGCACCUCGAGAAGACGGAUCCGACAGUGAGGGACGAAAGCUAGGGUCUCGAACCGGAUUAGAUACCCGGGUAGUCCUAGCCGUAAACAAUGUUCACUAGGUGUGGCACAGGCUACGAGCCUGUGCUGUGCCGUAGGGAAGCCGAGAAGUGAACCGCCUGGGAAGUACGUCCGCAAGGAUGAAACUUAAAGGAAUUGGCGGGGGAGCAC
rnacentral:rRNA from 1 species